AAUGAACGCUGGCGGAAUGCUUUACACAUGCAAGUCGAACGGUAGAGGGGGCAACCCCUCGAGAGUGGCGAACGGGUGAGUAAUAUAUCGGAACGUGCCCAGUCGUGGGGGAUAACGUAGCGAAAGUUACGCUAAUACCGCAUACGAUCUAUGGAUGAAAGCGGGGGAUCGCAAGACCUCGCGCGAUUGGAGCGGCCGAUAUCAGAUUAGGUAGUUGGUGGGGUAAAGGCCCACCAAGCCAACGAUCUGUAGCUGGUCUGAGAGGACGACCAGCCACACUGGAACUGAGACACGGUCCAGACUCCUACGGGAGGCAGCAGUGGGGAGUUUUGGACAAUGGGCGAAAGCCUGAUCCAGCCAUUCCGCGUGCAGGAUGAAGGCCCUCGGGUUGUAAACUGCUUUUGUACAGAACGAAAAGGUUUCUACUAAUACUAGGAGCUCAUGACGGUACUGUAAGAAUAAGCAUCGGCUAACUACGUGCCAGCCGCCGCCGUAA
rnacentral:rRNA from 1 species